AGCUUUGCGCAGUGGCAGUAUCGUAGCCAAUGAGGUUUAUCCGAGGUGCAAUUAUUGCUAAUUGAAAACUUUUCCCUAAUCAAACUUUCAUCUCUAGGGCAGCUCUAUUUUCAACCCAAAGAUACAAAUGUAGUGACCUGAAGGGGU